UUGAUUACGUCCCUGCCCUUUGUACACACCGCCCGUCGCUGCCCGGGACUGAGCCGUUUCGAGAAACUUGUCGACUGCUGAUUUGGUACCUUCGGUUGCCAUUUCGGUGGGAACCAAUUUAAUCGCAGUGGCUUGAACCGGGCAAAAGUCGUCCCAAGGUAGCUGUAGGUGAACCUGCUGCUGGAUGAUUACAUGAUACCGUGAUGGUCAACCUAUUUGACCAGCUUGUGUACGUGACUCUUGUACACUGGCCAGCCGCCAUUACUUGCUUCUGGUAAUGGAUGGGUACGGCUAACGUUGGCGUCUAAGUGUUGCUGAGCUCUUGUCUUCGUCCGUGGCUGUGAUGAGGCAGCAUGUUAGGACCAAUGCUUUUGUCUGAUGAGCAUGUGGUUUAAGACUUAAUGAGACUUUUGCCUCAAGGCCGCCAACAUUUUGUUUUUUUUAUUAUUUUUCCAUAAACUAAAAUUCUAGUCUUAUCGGCGGAUCACUCGGCUCGUAGGUCUAUGAAGAACGCAGCUAACUGCGAUAAUUAGUGUGAACUGCAGAAACCAUGAACACAACACUUUCGAAUGCACAUUGCGCCAUUGGAAUCUUGUCCUUUGGCACGCCUGGUUCAGGGUCGUAAACCUAAUACGCGUGCCCCUUGCGUUUAUUAUUGUGAAUUCAUUCUACUGCUAUGCUGUGUUUCUUUGCACUGCAAUGGAUUGUUUUCGCAUUUUUGUUAACAUGAGUGCAGGAUUGCUUUAGGAGGCAUGGGUGUAUGGACCAGUUACGUUGUUUCUACCAUGGUUGUGACGCCUAACGGAGGAUAAGGGUUCGACUCCGGAGAAGCCGCCUGAGGAGGUAGUGACGAGCUAUAACAAGACCGUUCUCUUCAGAGGCCGGUCAUUGGAAUGGGUAUUUGGCGCUGUGCCUUUCAUCGGGUGCAGUGUAAAGUGCAGCAAGUUUACCUUGAACAAAUCAGAGUGCUUCCCACAGGCGUUUCGCUUGAAUGUUCGUGCAUGGAAUAAUAGAAGAGGAUCAGAUACCGCCCUAGUUCUGACCGUAAACGAUGCCAACUAGUGAUCCGCCGGUUGGAGCGUUCAACCGAUUCACGCCGUGUUUGCUUCAUGGCUAUUGCUUUGUUUCGUGCUUUAGUCAUCUGCAUGUCUCUUCGGGUUACCUGUCUCAGCAUCGUGUCUGUUGAUGCAAUUUUUUAUUAUUCGACCUGAACUCAGACGUGAUUACCCGCUGAACUUAAGCAUAUCAGUAAGCGGAGGAAAAGAAACUAACAAGGAUUCCCUUAGUAACGGCGAGUGAAA
rnacentral:rRNA from 1 species